rnacentral:lncRNA from 1 species
GGAUUGUUUUACCGGAAAGGCUCGGCUAUUAGAGCAAAAUCAGAGACCGAGGCUUAUGAGUUAUAUGUACCUCCUUCUGUUGAAGAUUCUAGCAAAGACAAAGAGACGGAUCCUUAUGAGUCUCUAGUAUAUGAACCUCCUAAAGUCGAAGAGAAAGAUAGUGGAGCUGUUCAGAAUGGAGCACCAAUUGAAGAUUCUAGCAAAGACAAAGAGACUGAUCCUUAUGCGGCUUUGAUAUAUGAACCUCCUAAAGUCGAAGAGACAGAUAAUGGAACUGUUCAAAAUGAAACACCAAUUGAAGAUUCUAGCAAAGACAGAAAGACGGAUCCUUAUGCGGCUUUGGUAUAUGAACCUCCUAAAGUUGAAGAGAAAGAUAAUGGAACUGUUCAAAAUGAAGCACCAAUUGAAGAGUCUAGCAAAGACAAAGAGACGGAUCCUUAUGCGGCUUUGGUAUAUGAACCUCCUAAAGUUGAAGAGAAAGAUAAUGGAACUGUUCAAAAUGAAGCACCAAUUGAAGAGUCUAGCAAAGACAAAGAGACGGAUCCUUAUGCGGCUUUGGUAUAUGAACCUCCUAAAGUUGAAGAGAAAGAUAUUGGAACUGUUCAAAAUGAAGCACCAAUUGAAGAUUCUAGCAAAGACAAAGAGACGGAUCCUUAUGCGGCUUUGGUAUACGAACCUUCUAAAGUUGAAGAGAAAGAUGACGGUGCUGUUCAGAAUGGAGCACCAAUAGAAGACAAGCAGACGGAUCCUUAUGCGGCUUUAAUAGAUGAGCCUCCUAAAGUUGAAGAGAAAGAUGAUGGAGCUGUUCAGGAUGAAACACCAGUGGAAGAUUCUAUUAAAGACAAGGAGCUGGAUGCUUAUGCGUCUUUGACAUAUGAACCUCCUAAAGUCGAAGAGAAAGAUGAUGGAGCUAUUCAGAAUGAAGCACAGAUUGAAGAUUCUAGGGAAGAGAAAGAGAAGGAUGCUUCUGCGACUUUGACAUAUGAACCUCCUAAAGUCGAAGAGAAAGAGAAGGAUGCUCUGGAUUUUGAUUCACAACUGUCCAAGUUCUUUGACAAGCUAAAUAUUAAGGUAUCUUCCAUCUUUUAAGAGUAUGCUGCCUCAGUAAAAGUUGCUGAAAUCAGAAUUUACUGCAUAUUGCCUCUUUGACAAGUCAUUCUGGUGCAUCAAGUACACAUUUAAUGGUUUGGGCGAUACUGCAAACACCAGAUCAUAAGGUCCAAAGAAUGGGAACAAAUAUUAAAAUUGCAAUAUCUAAAGAGAGAAAACGAUACAUACAGAAACAAAAAAUAAACCAUGGUAUAUGUCUUAAAACGUAUACUAGAAAACUACUUUUUUGGGGCAUCAUUUCCAACAAAUCAAAUUAUUAAGGAAGUUAAUCGAGACAUUCUUAAUCCCUAAAACACACAUACCUUAAUUCAAAUAUGAUGCUCAUACAUGGAUUAAGUUCCUAUAAAGUACAGGUUCUGCAGUGAAUUGUCUGCAGUUUAUGAAUUCUUAUCCUGUUUUCCUUACAUAAAAUAAGAACCACUUUGCCUCAAUACAAAACAACGGGGGCACUUUUCCUUGCAUAUGUUGGCAAAAUGGUUCAUUUAUCUCUCUUUCUUGUUGGUUCUUCAUUUUAUCAACAGAAGUCUGAC